rnacentral:rRNA from 1 species
UACGAAGGUCCCAAGCGUUAUCCGGAUUCAUUGGGUUUAAAGGGAGCGUAGGUGGACUGAUAAGUCAGUGGUGAAAUCUUUGGGCUUAACCCAAAAAUUGCCAUUGAUACUGUUGGUCUUGAGUAUAGUUGCCGUUGGCGGAAUAUGACAUGUAGUGGUGAAAUACAUAGAGAUGUCAUAGAACACCGAUUGCGAAGGCAGCUGACGAAACUAUAACUGACACUGAGGCUCGAAAGUGUGGGGAUCAAACAGG